GAUGAAGAACGUAGCGAAAUGCGAUAAGUAGUGUGAAUUGCAGAAUUCAGUGAAUCAUCGAAUCUUUGAACGCACAUUGCGCCCCAUGGAAUUCCAUGGGGCAUGCCUGUUCGAGCGUCAUUUACCCCCUCAAGCUCCGCUUGGUGUUGGGCGUCUGUCCCGCUUCGCGCGCGGACUCGCCCCAAAGGUAUUGGCAGCGGUCGUGCCAGCUUCUCGCGCAGCACAUUGCGCUUCUCGAGGCACCGGUGGGCCCGCGUCCAUCAAGCUCACCCCCCCAGUUUGACCUCGGAUCAGGUAGGGAUACCCGCUGAACUUAAGCAUAUCAAUAAGCGGAGGA
rnacentral:misc_RNA from 1 species